CGAACGGGUGAGUAACGCGUGAGGAACCUGCCUCAAAGAGGGGGACGAACAGUUGGAAACGACUGCUAAUACCGCAUAAGCCCACGGUGCCGCAUGGCACAGAGGGAAAAGGAGCAAUCCGCUUUGAGAUGGCCUCGCGUCCGAUUAGCUAGUUGGUGAGGUAACGGCCCACCAAGGCAACGAUCGGUAGCCGGGCUGAGAGGUUGAACGGCCACAUUGGGACUGAGACACGGCCCAGACUCCUACGGGAGGCAGCAUG
rnacentral:rRNA from 1 species